UUUUUUCCCCAUAAUAGCAGACUACCAUCCUUCCUGCACCAACCUUUUGGUGAUUUACUACACAAUGUUGCUAUCCCUCAAUCCGGAGAUGAAAGAAUCUGUGGGAAGGCGUGAAGAAGUGCAACUGCUGCUGCCAGGAUAGGCAUGGUACUUACCGUGGUGCUCAAGCUGAGGCACUCAGAACUAAACUGAUGGCUAACUGCUGUAGGCCCAGCCACGUGGUCCGCAGUGAUUUUGAGAUAAACUUUGGGGUUAUAUGAAGUCAGCCACUGUCUCUGCUGGAAUGAAGCAAAAAGGAAGAUGGAGGGAGAAAUGCUUUUUCAUCUGACACUGUUUCAUUCACAUCACCUUAACCCAGUGAUGACCGUAAGGGAGAAAAAGGAAAAAAGUCAGUAAAUAAAUAAAUUCUUCUGUUCCUGGCAGUAGGACUUGCUUUGCAAACAUGAACACUUGGCAGGUUUCUACAUUUUCCUCAGCAAACUGAAUCAAAAACUGAGGAAAAGAAUCAAAGUUGAGGAUACCGAGUUGCACUGACCCGAAGGCACACACUCUUGCUGAAGUCAACAGGAUUUACUUGUUUUAGCACAAGAAAGGGCAGGAGAAUUCAGAUCUACUUCCUUAAAAAGAGACUGGUGAGAGAAAGAGCCGGCUCUUGUACCUACUCACGAGACUGUUUCUGCAUUUCAUCCAGUGACCAAAGCAGAGGUUUUCCCACCCUCAGGAAUCAUCUCGGUGAACUAGAUCUGCAAUCAGUGUGCUCCAAUGGCAAGUGGAAGAGCAUGGCUGACUGACCCCGUUAGCACAGUGGAGCUAAUUAACACCUGAUGAUUUGAAUGGUAAAACCUUAUGUAUUCCAUGUCCAUUCUCUGCUCUUUGUGCGUUUACAUCUUUGAAG
rnacentral:lncRNA from 1 species